AAUAUAUAAAAUAUACAACAACCUGAUGGAAAAUGUAAUGGAAUUACAUUUUCCAUCAGGUUGUUGUAUAUUUUAUAUAUUA
rnacentral:miRNA from 1 species